GGCCUGCGGAGGGAUCAUUACCGAGUUUACAACUCCCAAACCCCUGUGAACAUACCACUUGUUGCCUCGGCGGAUCAGCCCGCUCCCGGUAAAACGGGACGGCCCGCCAGAGGACCCCUAAACUCUGUUUCUAUAUGUAACUUCUGAGUAAAACCAUAAAUAAAUCAAAACUUUCAACAACGGAUCUCUUGGUUCUGGCAUCGAUGAAGAACGCAGCAAAAUGCGAUAAGUAAUGUGAAUUGCAGAAUUCAGUGAAUCAUCGAAUCUUUGAACGCACAUUGCGCCCGCCAGUAUUCUGGCGGGCAUGCCUGUUCGAGCGUCAUUUCAACCCUCAAGCACAGCUUGGUGUUGGGACUCGCGUUAAUUCGCGUUCCCCAAAUUGAUUGGCGGUCACGUCGAGCUUCCAUAGCGUAGUAGUAAAACCCUCGUUACUGGUAAUCGUCGCGGCCACGCCGUUAAACCCCAACUUCUGAAUGUUGACCUCGGAUCAGGUAGGAAUACCCGCUGAACUUAAGCAUAUCAA
rnacentral:rRNA from 1 species